rnacentral:rRNA from 1 species
UACGUAGGGUGCAAGCGUUGUCCGGAAUUAUUGGGCGUAAAGAGCUUGUAGGCGGUUUGUCGCGUCUGCUGUGAAAUUUCGGGGCUCAACCCCGAACUUGCAGUGGGUACGGGCAGACUAGAGUGUGGUAGGGGAGACUGGAAUUCCUGGUGUAGCGGUGAAAUGCGCAGAUAUCAGGAGGAACACCGAUGGCGAAGGCAGGUCUCUGGGCCAUAACUGACGGCUGAGAAGCGAAAGCAUGGGGAGCGAACAGG